UACGGAGGGAGCUAGCGUUGUUCGGAAUUACUGGGCGUAAAGCGCGCGUAGGCGGCUCUGUAAGUUAGAGGUGAAAGCCCGGGGCUCAACCCCGGAACUGCCUUUAAAACUGCAUCGCUUGAAUCCGGGAGAGGUGAGUGGAAUUCCGAGUGUAGAGGUGAAAUUCGUAGAUAUUCGGAAGAACACCAGUGGCGAAGGCGACUUACUGGACACAUAUUGACGCUGAGGUGCGAAAGCGUGGGGAGCAAACAGGG
rnacentral:rRNA from 1 species